rnacentral:miRNA from 1 species
AGUCAGCCUGUCCUUUGAAGCUUUGAAGCCAGGUAUUGACUUCUCUCUAGCUUGGCUGGCUAGCUAUGGAAGUCUUAGGUGGCGUCAUUUUCCACUUUAAGGCUAUU